rnacentral:lncRNA from 1 species
UAUACUUUUAAAAAUAGUGGAUUAAAUGUAUUGUAACUUUGACUACUGUACUGUAGUUUGUUUCCCUAACACUUUUUACCUCUUUGCUGCUCAAAACUGGUUUAUUUAAAUAUCUGUCUAAACCCCGUGAGCUGUGGGCUCCUAAGAGAGAGGAGAAUGAUCAGCUUUUGCUCGUGUGAACAAAGACACAGCAUUACAGGCACAAUGCUAAGUCAGAAUUGCUGCUGAAAUGCUGGCUGAAUGAAGCUUUCAGAAGUUUAAAUACUUUGGAGUUGUAUUAAGAAACAGGAGCAUGGAAGACCUGCCUUUCUGGACGCGCUUCCUGCUGGUAGAAGGUCUUGACACUUGCCGAAUGACUCUGGGGACUUGGCGGUUUUGUGAAGAGAGCUGUGGCCGGCGUUUUAAUAAAGCCGUUAGAGUAACUGUUGUUCUUAAUGUCUGUAUUUCUGGAUCCGUUUACUCCCUCCCAGGGUCCUCCUCCUCCUCCUUAAGACCCCGUGGGUGUUGAACUCUCUUUAGAUCCCUUUCUCAAAGAUGGUUUUUCAUCCCCACCAAAGAUCCCGGGGUUGGCGGAUCCGCACCCGGCUUUCCUCGGCAGGCGGGAUGUGUGCGUCGAGAUCAGCAAGCUUGCUUGUUCGUUCAGGAGGUCUCGUGCCUGCCCUACCCAUCAGGAAACGUUCCUUGUUGUCCUCACCACUGUGCUCUGAGAUCCGGGACUCGGCCUACAUAGUCACUGGGGCUUUAAAACCGGAAGGAACACUGAAGUGGUGGAUAUUGUCGGGGGAAAAGCAAAGGUCCGUCCGCUAAAGCACUUCUAGAUGUGUGCUGGGGUCCUCCAGAGACAGGUUAGGAACCCAGCGAGGACAAGAGGGUCCAUUUCUCGGUGCAGGGACACUUACUCCUUUGGGCAGCCGCUGACUUUGGAUCCCUGUGAAGAGGCUCCGGUGGCUGGUCACGUGGCACCAGCUCCCUCCUGGGACUCCCAAAAACGGCGGUUGUGUUGUAUUGCUGAGGCCCUUCAUAACCUAACAUUGUUAUAGGAUAAAUAUUUACAAAGGACAUUCCCUUCUUGCAACGUUUUUUAAAAAUCUGGGUCUUACUGCAUACUACACUUACUGUUUUGAUUUUGCCUUCUCCACUGUGAAACUCUUGUACAUUGGUCAUUUUGGUAAUACACAGCCAACAUAGCCAACUUGUUUAUCCAAAUGUUUUGUUAUUCCUCCAGGUGUUCUUUGACUUCAAAAC